ensembl:snoRNA SNORD22 Small nucleolar RNA SNORD22
CCUUUGUGAUGACACCCGCACACGUCUUACGCCUUGUGUUGACGCCAGAACCUGAAAAGGUGGACCCACUGGCGUUACCCUGGCAACAAGGGGAUGACUUGUUGGGGCUACCAACAGUCUGAAUGGA